GUACAGGUUUCCGUAGGUGACCUGCGGCAAGGAUCAUUACAGAACUGAAGGAAAAAACGUAGUCGCAGAGAGAGACGUCCAAAAGACUAGUCGCUGGCUCGUAAUCCGACGCAUCGUGCACGUCUUCUCUUUCUUCCUCUACUUUUUUCUUUCUUUCCUUACAUUUUACACACUUGUGAACCCAUCGGUAGAUCUCAUGUCCAAGAUCUAGUUACUAGUCGGUCACUUUCGAAAUCUGGCAUUGUGCGCUCUCAUCACGAUUUAGUUAUUAGUCUCGACGAACACAAAUCUUGAUUUAGAGUCCUCGCAUCCUAGUUUCAAAGGAAACUGGCAAACACGCACGUCUUGAAUGUGGAUCUAUGUCUUUAACCUACACUUGUCGAUCGUAUGGCUAGAAUGUAUUAGAGUUUUCUUGUCGCUCGAAGCUCAGUUUCGAUCGAUCAAUAGAUCUCUUAAAAACAUCGUAUAACUUUCAGCAACGGAUCUCUUGGCUCUCGCAUCGAUGAAGAACGCAGCGAAUUGCGAUAAGUAAUGUGAAUUGCAGAUUUCCAGUGAAUCAUCGAAUCUUUGAACGCACCUUGCGCUCCUUGGUAUUCCGAGGAGCAUGCCUGUUUGAGUAUCAUGGACUUCUCAACCAAUUGUGUGUGUGUUCAUGCACAAUUCAAUUGGCUUGGACUUGGGGGUUGCCGGUGACUAGCUUCAUCGACUCCCCUUAAAUGCAUUAGCAAUCCGUUAGCUAGUCUUUCUAGGACGUGCACGGCCUUCGACGUGAUAAUGAUCGUCGUCGCUGGAGCGUACUAAAGACCAGAGAAAGCAGCUUGCUUCUAAUUACACACUUAGUUAGAUCCACGUUCUUUCAAUUCGAGACUUAGUUAUUAGUCACUUUCGACGAACACAAGUCUUUUCGAUUUAGCUAUUAGUUUUCGAACGAACGCAAAUCGAUCGAGUUCGAAUUCGACGUCGAGUUUCUAAUGCUAAUAAUUUGAACCUUUGAUCUCAAAUCAGGUAGGACUACCCGCUGAACUUAAGCAUAUCAAUAAGCGGAGGAAAAGAAACUAACAAGGAUUCCCCUAGUAACUGCGAGUGAAGCGGGAAAAGCUCAAAUUUUGAAUCUGGCGGUCAGUUUCG
rnacentral:rRNA from 1 species